rnacentral:tRNA from 1 species
GGCAGCAUGGUGUAGUGGUUUGAGUGUUGGACUGCAACUCUGGAGACUAGGGUUCAAAUCCCUGCUCAGCCA